UUAAGCGACUAAGCGUACACGGUGGAUGCCCUGGCAGUCAGAGGCGAUGAAGGACGUGCUAAUCUGCGAUAAGCGUCGGUAAGGUGAUAUGAACCGUUAUAACCGGCGAUUUCCGAAUGGGGAAACCCAGUGUGAUUCGUCACACUAUCAUUAACUGAAUCCAUAGGUUAAUGAGGCGAACCGGGGGAACUGAAACAUCUAAGUACCCCGAGGAAAAGAAAUCAACCGAGAUUCCCCCAGUAGCGGCGAGCGAACGGGGAGGAGCCCAGAGCCUGAAUCAGUGUGUGUGUUAGUGGAAGCGUCUGGAAAGGCGCGCGAUACAGGGUGACAGCCCCGUACACAAAAAUGCACAUGCUGUGAGCUCGAUGAGUAGGGCGGGACACGUGGUAUCCUGUCUGAAUAUGGGGGGACCAUCCUCCAAGGCUAAAUACUCCUGACUGACCGAUAGUGAACCAGUACCGUGAGGGAAAGGCGAAAAGAACCCCGGCGAGGGGAGUGAAAAAGAACCUGAAACCGUGUACGUACAAGCAGUGGGAGCACGCUUAGGCGUGUGACUGCGUACCUUUUGUAUAAUGGGUCAGCGACUUAUAUUCUGUAGCAAGGUUAACCGAAUAGGGGAGCCGAAGGGAAACCGAGUCUUAACUGGGCGUUAAGUUGCAGGGUAUAGACCCGAAACCCGGUGAUCUAGCCAUGGGCAGGUUGAAGGUUGGGUAACACUAACUGGAGGACCGAACCGACUAAUGUUGAAAAAUUAGCGGAUGACUUGUGGCUGGGGGUGAAAGGCCAAUCAAACCGGGAGAUAGCUGGUUCUCCCCGAAAGCUAUUUAGGUAGCGCCUCGUGAAUUCAUCUCCGGGGGUAGAGCACUGUUUCGGCAAGGGGGUCAUCCCGACUUACCAACCCGAUGCAAACUGCGAAUACCGGAGAAUGUUAUCACGGGAGACACACGGCGGGUGCUAACGUCCGUCGUGAAGAGGGAAACAACCCAGACCGCCAGCUAAGGUCCCAAAGUCAUGGUUAAGUGGGAAACGAUGUGGGAAGGCCCAGACAGCCAGGAUGUUGGCUUAGAAGCAGCCAUCAUUUAAAGAAAGCGUAAUAGCUCACUGGUCGAGUCGGCCUGCGCGGAAGAUGUAACGGGGCUAAACCAUGCACCGAAGCUGCGGCAGCGACGCUGAUGCGUUGUUGGGUAGGGGAGCGUUCUGUAAGCCUGUGAAGGUGUGCUGUGAGGCAUGCUGGAGGUAUCAGAAGUGCGAAUGCUGACAUAAGUAACGAUAAAGCGGGUGAAAAGCCCGCUCGCCGGAAGACCAAGGGUUCCUGUCCAACGUUAAUCGGGGCAGGGUGAGUCGACCCCUAAGGCGAGGCCGAAAGGCGUAGUCGAUGGGAAACAGGUUAAUAUUCCUGUACUUGGUGUUACUGCGAAGGGGGGACGGAGAAGGCUAUGUUGGCCGGGCGACGGUUGUCCCGGUUUAAGCGUGUAGGCUGGUUUUCCAGGCAAAUCCGGAAAACUAAGGCUGAGGCGUGAUGACGAGGCACUACGGUGCUGAAGCAACAAAUGCCCUGCUUCCAGGAAAAGCCUCUAAGCAUCAGGUAACAUCAAAUCGUACCCCAAACCGACACAGGUGGUCAGGUAGAGAAUACCAAGGCGCUUGAGAGAACUCGGGUGAAGGAACUAGGCAAAAUGGUGCCGUAACUUCGGGAGAAGGCACGCUGAUAUGUAGGUGAAGUCCCUCGCGGAUGGAGCUGAAAUCAGUCGAAGAUACCAGCUGGCUGCAACUGUUUAUUAAAAACACAGCACUGUGCAAACACGAAAGUGGACGUAUACGGUGUGACGCCUGCCCGGUGCCGGAAGGUUAAUUGAUGGGGUCAGCGCAAGCGAAGCUCUUGAUCGAAGCCCCGGUAAACGGCGGCCGUAACUAUAACGGUCCUAAGGUAGCGAAAUUCCUUGUCGGGUAAGUUCCGACCUGCACGAAUGGCGUAAUGAUGGCCAGGCUGUCUCCACCCGAGACUCAGUGAAAUUGAACUCGCUGUGAAGAUGCAGUGUACCCGCGGCAAGACGGAAAGACCCCGUGAACCUUUACUAUAGCUUGACACUGAACAUUGAGCCUUGAUGUGUAGGAUAGGUGGGAGGCUUUGAAGUGUGGACGCCAGUCUGCAUGGAGCCGACCUUGAAAUACCACCCUUUAAUGUUUGAUGUUCUAACGUUGACCCGUAAUCCGGGUUGCGGACAGUGUCUGGUGGGUAGUUUGACUGGGGCGGUCUCCUCCUAAAGAGUAACGGAGGAGCACGAAGGUUGGCUAAUCCUGGUCGGACAUCAGGAGGUUAGUGCAAUGGCAUAAGCCAGCUUGACUGCGAGCGUGACGGCGCGAGCAGGUGCGAAAGCAGGUCAUAGUGAUCCGGUGGUUCUGAAUGGAAGGGCCAUCGCUCAACGGAUAAAAGGUACUCCGGGGAUAACAGGCUGAUACCGCCCAAGAGUUCAUAUCGACGGCGGUGUUUGGCACCUCGAUGUCGGCUCAUCACAUCCUGGGGCUGAAGUAGGUCCCAAGGGUAUGGCUGUUCGCCAUUUAAAGUGGUACGCGAGCUGGGUUUAGAACGUCGUGAGACAGUUCGGUCCCUAUCUGCCGUGGGCGCUGGAGAACUGAGGGGGGCUGCUCCUAGUACGAGAGGACCGGAGUGGACGCAUCACUGGUGUUCGGGUUGUCAUGCCAAUGGCACUGCCCGGUAGCUAAAUGCGGAAGAGAUAAGUGCUGAAAGCAUCUAAGCACGAAACUUGCCCCGAGAUGAGUUCUCCCUGACUCCUUGAGAGUCCUGAAGGAACGUUGAAGACGACGACGUUGAUAGGCCGGGUGUGUAAGCGCAGCGAUGCGUUGAGCUAACCGGUACUAAUGAACCGUGAGGCUUAACCUU
rnacentral:rRNA from 3 species